rnacentral:rRNA from 1 species
AUUGAACGCUGGCGGCAGGCUUAACACAUGCAAGUCGAGCGAGCGGCGGACGGGUGAGUAAUGUCUGGGAAACUGCCUGAUGGAGGGUGAUAACUACUGGAAACGGUAGCUAAUACCGCAUACCAUCAGAUGUGCCCAGAUGGGAUUAGCUAGUAGGUGGGGUAAUGGGUCACCUAGGCGACGAUCCCUAGCUGGUGUGAGAGGAUGACCAGGCAAACUGGGACGGAGACACGGUCCCGACCCCGAAGGGGGGAAGCAGGGGGGAAUAUUGCACAAUGGGGGCAAGCCUGAAGCAGCCAUGCCGCGUGUGUGAAGAAGGCCUUCGGGUUGUAAAGCACUUUCAGCGAGGAGGCGUUACUCGCAGAAGAAGCACCGGCUAACUCCGUGCCAGCAGCCGCGGUAAUAC